AGGGAUUUAGCUUAGUGGUAUAAGUGCCUGCCUGACAAGCAUGAUGUCAUGAGUUCAAUCCCUG
rnacentral:tRNA from 1 species